ensembl:lncRNA
CCGCCCCUCCCGGCCGCGCCGCCCGCCGGGCCCCGCUGGGGAGCGCGUCUGGCGUUGUUCCGGCGGCCGCGUCCCGCCCUGCCCGGCGCGCCCCCGACCCCACCCCGCCGCCACCUCCCCGCCCGCCCCCGGGGCUGUGCGGGAGAGACAAUAGAGCUGCGGGCUCCGCGCUGAGCUGCGCGCCCCGGGGAUGGGCGGCGAGGUGUGCGCGGCCCCGGGGGCUCUGCGCUGCGGGAUGGGGCUGUAGCGGGGCUCGGGGUGGGGGGGGAGCGCGGCUUGGCUGGGGGGGAAAGGCGGAGAAUGGGGGGCGAUGCCCCUUUCUGAGCCCAGCCCGCCUCUGUGCUAACCUGGCAGGAUGCGGGAGAUGGCGGGGCUGCUGUGAAGAAAGUACCGGGGCUGGCCGGAGGCUGGAGAGCGGGACAUGUUGCUGGUACCCCGCUGAUGCUCGCCGGGUGUCGGCUCUGCUGGCAAAGGGGAGGCUGGUGAGGAGCUGGAGGACGGCGACGCGAGGCCACGGUGGGGGAAAAUCCGAGGCUCCGGCUGGGAAACCAUGGGGAGAUGCAAUGGGAGAUGUACGCUGGUCGGAUUCUGCUGCCUGCAGCUGGUGGCGGCGCUGGAGCGGCAGAUCUUUGAUUUCCUGGGCUACCAGUGGGCCCCCAUCCUGGCUAAUUUCCUACACAUCAUGGCCGUCAUCCUGGGCAUUUUUGGGACCAUCCAGUACAGAUCCAAAUACCUCAUGGUGUACGCGGUGUGGCUGGUGCUGUGGGUCGGCUGGAACGCCUUCAUCAUCUGCUUCUACCUGGAGGUUGGACGCUUGUCGCAGGACCGAGACUUCAUCAUGACCUUCAAUACCUCACUGCAUCGCUCGUGGUGGAUGGAGAACGGGCCGGGCUGCCUGGUGACGCCGGUGCUCAACUCCAACCUGGCGCCCGAGGACCAUCACGUCAUCACCGUCAGCGGGUGCCUGCUCGACUACCAGUACAUCGAGGUGGUGAGCAGUGCCACGCAGAUCUUCCUGGCGCUCUUUGGCUUUGUCUACGCCUGCUAUGUCAGCAAAGUGUUCCUGGAGGAAGAAGACAGCUUCGACUUCAUUGGUGGGUUCGACUCCUACGGCUACCAGGCGCCACAGAAGACAUCACACCUACAGCUACAGCCACUCUACACAUCCGGGUAACCUGCCCCGGAUCCAGCCCCAGCCCAGCGUGGGAGCCAGAGGCGACAGGACCCCUGAGAGUGAACUGUCCCACACCCAAUGACAAGACCCCCAUCAAGGGCGGGGGGACACGAUGCCGAGACACCCAUCCGCUCCCUGCACCCUGCAAGACCCCCAAGGAUGGAGCCAGGAGCUGCACGUCCAUCCAGCCUGGAAGCCUCCGAGCUCAAACCACACACCCACGGCAGGACUGGAGGGAGGGGGCUGGAUACGGGGGGACCCCCCCACGCUGUGCUCGCCCCUCAGGCUCCCGCAGCCUCCCCGGGAUGGGGACACGGGGACACGCAGGGAUGUGGCAUCACUCACUGGACACCGUUUUCUUCUGUUUCUCCCAGCCUGGAUUUCCCUUGGAGCAGCAAGGCCCUUCCCGAUGUUCCGGGCAGGAAGGGGCUGGAGCGGGAUUGGGGUGAAACCCAGCUGGUUUGGAGCAAACUGGGACCAGGGAUGAGGGAUGAACAGUGCUUUGGGGACAGGGACCAGCUUCGUCCUUCAGGGCUGGGACAUUUGCCUGAAACUCCGGGUCUGGGAGUUGGGCUGGCCCCAAAAAUGGGGGUUUUGCUCCCAGAAGGAAUUUCCCAGCCCCGCCUGGCUGGAUGGAACAGUGCCAAAGGGGUUUGGUCCCGGAUGAUUCCCUUCACCAUCAGGAGCUGGAUCCGGCUGUCAGCAUCUUGUCUCAAUUCCCCCCCAGCCUGGGGACAUGGAGGGACACAGAGCACCCCGAAUCCUCCUGCAAGCCCCCCUAUCCCUCCCACAUUUUGGGGGGGGGUCUUGCUCCAAGUUGGCAAUACUGACGCUGCUUUGACACAGCCCCUUUCCGGCUGUUUUAACGCAUCUCAUGAAUGUUUUGGGUUGGUUUUCUCCUUUCUAAUUACUGGGUUUGGUUAAUUUGUAUUAAUUUGAAGUGCCUGAGCAGUGGCUGAACAUGACCCCCCCCCCCGGCCGACACCGUGCCUUCAGCAGCGCUCUGCCCACUCCAGGGCACCCCAGGGCCUCCAACCCCCCCCCCGGUCCCUCCAUCCAUGUGGGAUCUUGGGGGCAAAUCCACCCCAUCAGGUCCGGCAGCAGGAGCGGGGUGACAUCGGGACAUGGGGAAUGGUUAUUUGGGGGGGGGGGGGAAUGUUCAAGAUCCAUUGGGCAGCGAUUGCUUUGUGAAUGGAGAUGAGCUGGGAAGUAACACCCCAGAGGAAGCUGGAAGGAAAAGGAAGUUCCAUGAAGCAUCCCAGCUCCCCAUAUCCUCCUUCUUCUCCUUUGUUUCCUGGAGGUGGGAUGUGGUGUCUCCUGGAUCUGGCCCCAAGCCCACCCUUGGCAUCUGUGAGUGUGUGUGUGGGGGGUGAAUUCUGCCUCCCAGGGGUUUGUCCUCCCAUCCUGGGGGUUAUACGGGGAUAGUCUUUGUGUUUCCCAACACGCAGCUGGGAAGUGCCAACAGCCGAAGCUGCCCAAGCCCAAACCCCAAAUCCCCCUGGAUUUGGCUGCAUCCCCCCACCAGCCCCUCCAUCGCCUCCAGCCAAGCUGCGAACUCUACAGGCAAUAAUUUUUCCACCUUUUCCCCUAUUUUUUCCAAGGAAAAUAAUGUUUUUCAGGUGACAGAUUCCCCCUUAUCCCCAAAACACAUCCCCAGCCCCAAGCGCUGCCCAGCCCCAGCAACAACAGCAUCUCCAGGGCUGAUUUUCCUCUCCAGGACCAAGGAUGCUCUCGCUGACCGGUGGGAUGGGAUGCAAUAGGAUGGGAUGGGAUGCGAUGGGGUGGGAUGGGAUGGGCAGGGCAGGCACCCACCUGCUCAAACCCCUUCUCCAAGCCAGCAGGAAGCAGAAGGAAAAGCCUGGAGUCAUUCUAACUCAUUCAGAGGAGCUGCCCUCCCUCCUGAGCUCGGUGGGAGCCAGGCACCGGCGCCGCAACCUUUUGGGUUUCCUUAUUCCCCCUUUUCCGUUGGCUUGUUUUUAUACAGGACUGUAUUUGUAAUGUGAACGAGGAUUUCUUUUCUAUUCUGUAAUUAUAAAAGGCGAAGGAAGGUUUCAGCUGAUGCUGUCCCACUCUGGGGCAUUUCCCUUCCUGGUGCACUUGAAUCGAUUAAAAUCUGGUGGGUUUUUUAA